rnacentral:tRNA from 1 species
GCGCUCGUAGCUCAGCUGGAUAGAGUAUCUGGCUACGAACCAGGCGGUCGGAGGUUCGAAUCCUCCCGAGCGCGCCA